rnacentral:tRNA from 1 species
GAGGAAGUAGUCUAAUUUAUUUAAGGCGUCGGGCUCAUAAUUCGAAGAUGGUUAUAAGACCUUUCCUUG